CCUACGGGUGGCAGCAGUAGGGAAUAUUCCACAAUGGGGGAAAGCCUGAUGCAGCGACGCCGCGUGAGUGAAGAAGUAUUUCGGUAUGUAAAGCUCUGUCAGCAGGGAAGAAAAUGACGGUACCUGACUGAGAAGCCACGGCUAACUACGUGCCAGAAGCCGCGGUAAUACGGAGGGGGCAAGCGUUAUCCGGUUUUACUGGGGGUAAAGGUAGCGUAGACGGCCAGACAAAGCAUAAGGGAAAGCCCAGGGCUCAACCCUGGGACUGCUUUUGAAACUGGCGGGCUGGAGUGCAGGAGAGGUAAGCGGAAUUCCAAGUGUAGCGGUGAAAUGCGUAGAUAUUAGGAGGAACACCAGUGGCGAAGGCGGCUUACUGGACUGUAACUGACGUUGAGGCUCGAAAGCGUGGGGAGCAAACAGGAUUAGAUACCCCAGUAGUC
rnacentral:rRNA from 1 species